AAAAAAAAAUACAAAAAAUUGGUGGGGCUAAUUGUGGCAACUCCCCUCUUGCUGCUGAAAACAAACAUUUGGGCUAAUGUUCAGGCCUUGCCGUAGCUGUUGAGUAGUUCACUGGGCGUAAGAAAAUGUGACUAGACCUGGCAACCCUGCUCGUGAAGGCUCUAGAAACGUCGAAGGCGCGGUAGCUGCGUCACAGCGUCAGGUCCGAUUCGGAGUCCUCGAGGUGUAAGACAGGGUGGCCUUGCAGUGUGUAGAAUACAAUACACAGUUCUGUAGUUCGCGCACACUUUUCUACAGCCCAUUGAAACGAAAUCCCCACAAGGAGAGUAUUCUAAAUUGAAUUGUGUAUCCCCAAGGAGACGGCGAUCCCAACGGCAUUUGACAUACAACAAGACAUGCAUCCAGCGACUGCUAAGUGGUAUGACAGACGGGACUCCGUCUACAUCGAGUUCUGCGUAGCGGACAGCAAGGAUGUCAAGAUCAAUUUUGAGAAAGCAAAGUUUGCUUUCAGUUGUCUUGGAGGAACUGACCAAGUCAAACACGAGAAUGAAGUAGACCUUUUCGAAGCCAUUGAUCAAAAUGAAUCCAUGCACAAACGCACAGAUCGGUCAGUGUUGUGCUGUUUGCGAAAAGCAGAACCUGGGAAGCCGUGGCUGAGGCUAACAAAAGAGAAGGCUAAGCUAACUUGGCUCAGCGUCGACUUUAACAACUGGAAAGACUGGGAGGACGAUUCGGAUGAGGAGCUAGGCAACUUCGAUCGUUUCUCAGAGGUAGGAGAUGGGGAUAUGGCGUUCAACACACAAGAAGCAAUGGCUAAAAUGAUGAACAACAUGGGAGGGGAAGAUGACCUACCUGAUCUAGAUGGUGCUGAGGAUGUAAGAGCUACUCUGGAGUUCAUUCUCUUUUUCUCCGUUUCACUUUAUUUGAUUUUGUACAAAAACACAAUGUCAUGUGCCUCUUGUGUAUGAGCUUGCUAAUGACUGAUCAGUCCCUUUAGAAGAAUGUGUGGGGCACAAUAUGUUCAAAUCUUAAUUGCGACGGUCAUAUCAGCGAGUCACACAAAUUUCCCCUGGUGGCACUGUUGCCACUACGUUUCUCCAGUUGGUUGCAUCAGCCCAUGAUUUGGUUGCACCAGUUUUUCCUGCGGCAGCAUGCAAUAGAGAAAAUGAGUAAUCGUCUUUAUAAAGAUAUUCAGUGCUUUAUUAACCCUUCUCCUACAAUUUCCGUGGCCCUGUGGAAAUCAAAUUAACGAAGAAAAAAAUCCAUCAUAAUCCCUGUUUAAGAUAUGUUUUUUGAGUGGGGUGCGUCUCAAUCCGCCAAUAUCGGUCUUCGGCAUCUGCCAUGGUGACACUGCGAAAAUCGCCCUUAUCACAAAUCGUUCAGUUUGGCCAAACUAUUAUGACCUCUCUGUGGAAAGAUGAGACUCUCACGGAGACACGGGACUUGUCUGAGGUCAGUACAACUACUGAUGCCAAUUUCUGUAUGUAUCGUCCAAACAAUUUGGCCGACACACUACGAACACGUACAUGUGGUUGUUUUGCUCCAGGACAACCAUAAGGCUCAUAAGACUCGUCUGAACGUCCCUAGUACCAGUUUAAGAAAUGUAUUGGAAGUACAGUACCUUCGGAAAGUUUUCGGACCCUUUGGCUUUUUCCAGAUUUUGUUACGUUACAGCCUUAUUUUAAAAUGGAUAAAAUAAAUAGAAAUCCUCAGCAAUCUACACACUACCCCCCCAUAAUGGAAAAAGUGAAAACGGGUAUUACUGUUUUUAUUUCUAAGAAUUCAGACCCUUAGCUAUGAGACUUGAAAUUAAGCACAGGUGCAUCCUGUUUCCAUUGAUAAUCUUUGAUGUUUCUACAACUUGAUUGGAGUCCACCUGGGGUAAAUUCAAUUGAUUGGAUGUGAUUUGGAACGGCACACACCUGUCUAUAUAAGGUCUCACAGUUGACAGUCCAUGUCAGAGCAAAAACAAAGCCAUGAGGUUGAAGGAAUUGUCCAUAGAGCUCUGAGACAUGAUUGUGUCGAGGCACAGAUCUGGGGAAGGGUACCAAAAGAAUUCUGAGGCAUUGAAGGUCCCCAAGAACACAGUGGCCUCCAUCAUUCUUAAAUGGAAGAAGUUUGGAACCCACCAAGACUCAUCCUAGAGCUGGCUGCCGGGCCAAACUGAGCAAUCGGAGAAGGGCCUUGGUCAGCGAGGUUGCCAAGAACCUGAUGUUCACUCUGACAGAGCUCUAAAGUUCCUAUGUGGAGAUGGUGUCCUUCUGGAAGGUUCUCCCAUCUCUGUAGCACACCACCAAUCAGGCCUUUAUGUUAGUGGCCAGACGGAAGCCACUCCUCAGUAAAAGGUACAUGACAGCCCGCUUGGAGUUUGCCAGACGGUACCUAAGACUCUCAGACCAUGAGAAACGAGACUCUCUGGUCUGCUGAAACCUAGAUUUAACUGUUUGGCCUGAAUGCCAAGUCUCACGUCUGGAGGAAACCUGGCACCAUCCCUACGGUGAAGCGUGGUGGUGGCAGCAUUAUGCUGUGAGCAUGUUUUUCAGCGGCGGGGACUGAGAGACGAGUCAGGAUUGAGGCGAAGAUGAACAGAGCAAAGUACAGAGAGCUCUUUGGUGAAAACCUGCUCAGGACCGCAGACUGGGGCGAAGGUUCACCAUCCUACAGGACAAUGACCCUAAGCACACAGCCAAGCAACGCAGGAGUUGCUUCGGAACAAGUCUCUGUAUGUCCACAUGUUAGCUUAGUAGAACCCAGUUUUCAGAUUUUUUUGGCAAAAAUCUCUGAACAAAUCUUUACGCACUAAUCUAGGUUUAUUUAGGUUCAAUAAACCACCUGAGUAUGUACAAACUCAAAUGCUAGAUUGCUAACUAAUACCCAAUGCUAGUAUCCAUGUAUUAAUCUAACAGUAAAUGUAAUCUCCUAAAAAACGUUGCAGUUGUAGCCUACUUCCCAGUGAGACUUAUGCAAAUCACAAUGGCGGAUGUGCAUUUCGCGCGCUCUGUCUCAAAAGCCAUAGGCCUUUAAAAUAUCUUUGUUUUAAAAGGGUGCUAUUGAGCUCAAUAUUGAGAGUUGAGAAAUGAAUAAGAAAGCUGUGAAAUGCCUCUUCAAUAGUGACAACCGUAUUAACACAGGAUAGCUGUUUUCACCGUAAUUGGAUUUUGAAAUGUUAUACAAUCUGAAGAGAUUCUCCCAGAGAAUUAUUUUCCCCCCCGGGAAGGGCAGUGAGUGGCCCACUUGUCACCGCAGAAGUCCCCAGCCAAACAGGCACUGGGCCAUGGCAGAUACUUUCAUUGCAGGAAUCAUGAAGAUAAUGCUCUUAACUGUUUUUGAGCAAAUCAUGGUUUUAACCUAACCCCUUAGAAAAAUAGGAAGUUUUGCAUGUAGAAUGUGCAGCUCGCAUCCAUACGACCAAUUACGACCAAUUACAAAUUGAACUUCCACAGCCAAGUAAAUGGGUCGCAAAAUGCGACUAAAUUGUCAGUCAGGAGCCCUUUCAUAUGCAACUUCUCAUGCUUAUUUCUGUUCCUGUUUAGGAUGAGUCUGCAGAUAGUGACGAUGAAAAAAUGCCUGAUUUGGAAUGAAAAACCUCAAACCUGGAAGAGGGAUGGAAGGAAGAAUCAAACUAUCUUGAAAUUGAAGACUGGGGAAAAAAAAUCUGUACAGAUGAGUCGGUAGCCAUGUUUAAAUCCAUAGCCUCUGCUCCAGAGCUAAUUUCCAAUCAGUCCACUUAAGGUUGAUAUGCAUAGUGUUGUACAGAGUAGCAGUCUCCACUUCCAUUUGCAGUGCUGCACUCUUGGCGUGUCCUGUUUUUACUAUUAUUAGAUUAAGCAUUCAUGAUUUGUUACGGAUGUACUGUAUAGUCAUCCUCAACCUAGAAAGCAAUACAUGUGAAGAGAUUGUCAAGUGUAAUGAAAAGUAAUUAAACAUCUGUUUUAUCCUCCCCCACAAGGUUCUGUGUUAAGUUAGUUGAGCAGUGUACCAGAACAGUUGAACAUUUUCUGUUUGGUUCCCACUUGUGAGCCUCCCUCCCCUGUGGCAUAUAGAUAGUGAUCAGAGAAACGGUUCCGUGUUUCAGUAGCUUAGCCUUUACGCUUACAUGUUUCCCUUUCUUCCUCACCUGUUAUGUCGCAAACAGUUUAUCAAUGUUAUGUUCAUUUAGAUUUGAAAUGUUCUGGAAUUCAUUACAGGCAUCUGACUUUAUGUUGCUCCCCACUUUUGUUAUUUGACUAAUCCUGUAUUACUAUUUGCGAUCCAACAGCAGUUGAGUUAUUCAUCACACAUUUACGCAGGAAUAGAGCAUACACAUUCCUAUCUGUUUAGGCCUUUGUAAACAUCUGGAUUUGUCUUGUACCCUAAAGAAUAUUCCAUCUGUUUAGAGUUAUGGCAGUUAAAAUAUCCCUUGUGUGGGGAGUGGGUUGUUGAUAUGAGAUGGUAAACUUGUAUAAUGACCAAAUUAUAUUUGCAGUGUCAAGAAAAUGUAAGUCCGGGGAGAUGAAUAGAAGCGUCGUUAUUGGUGUGUAUGUCAACUUGUCAGGUUAUCACAGGCUGAAGAACUUAAAUUGAUGUUGAAUUGCAGUGGAUUUUUUUAUUUUUUAUUGUCUACGUCUUUUUAAUAAACUAAGACUCAUGUUUCACA